AUGCGCCAUUCGCACUGUGGUCGGUCCGCGCCAUCCAGACACACCUGGCGACUGCUCGCCAGGUCGUGUUGGCU
rnacentral:sRNA from 1 species